UACUAUUUUAGAUAUAAAUUAUUAUUAACCUAGGUAGUAUUAGUUAAGGUCUUGAAACUUAAAGAAUUUGGCGGUAUUUUAGUCUAUUUAGAGGAAUCUGUCCCUUAAUCGAUAAUCCACGUUUUACCUUACCAAGUUUUAUUGUAUGUAUACCGCCGUUAUAAUGAAUAUCUUUUUAGGGUUUAAAUAAUUUUCUUGAUUUAUUUUUAAAAAUUAUUUCAGGUCAAGGUGCAGCUUAUGAUUUGGUGGAGAUGGAUUACAUUUAUAUUUAUUAUUGGAUUAUUAAUUGUAAUUAUUAAUAUAAAAUUGGAUUUAAUUGUAACUUUUUGUAGUUUGUAGAGGUGAUUUAUUAGCUCUAUAAUAUGUACACAUCGCCCGUCGCUCUCAUUAAUUAUUUUUGAAUUGAG
rnacentral:rRNA from 1 species